CAGAGUUGAUCAUGGCUCAGGAUGAACGCUAGCGGCAGGCUUAACACAUGCAAGUCGAGGGGCAGCAUAAUGGAUAGCAAUAUCUAUGGUGGCGACCGGCGCACGAGUGCGUAACGCGUAUGCAACCUACCUUUAACAGGGGGAUAACACUGAGAAAUUGGUACUAAUACCCCAUAAUAUCAUAGAAGGCAUCUUUUAUGGUUGAAAAUUCCGAUGGUUAGAGAUGGGCAUGUCG
rnacentral:rRNA from 1 species